GUUGCUGCGCACUUUGCACAGUAUUAUAUACCGGGGUAAAGCUGGAACAGGUAGUCCCUGUUCCAGUACUCUAUGUCCCUGCACUCCUCUACCAAGUAAGCUACAAACAAAUGAAGGAGAACACAAAACAAAAGUGUUAUAAUGGAUCUGGAGUGUAUCCCUGGACCACCAGGUGUGAGGUAGAAAUACACCGUGAAA